GAUGAACGCUGGCGGCGUGCUUAACACAUGCAAGUCGAACGGAAAGGCCCAAGCUUGCUUGGGUACUCGAGUGGCGAACGGGUGAGUAACACGUGGGUGAUCUGCCCUGCACUUCGGGAUAAGCCUGGGAAACUGGGUCUAAUACCGGAUAGGACGAUGGUUUGGAUGCCAUUGUGGAAAGUUUUUUCGGUGUGGGAUGAGCUCGCGGCCUAUCAGCUUGUUGGUGGGGUAAUGGCCUACCAAGGCGUCGACGGGUAGCCGGCCUGAGAGGGUGUACGGCCACAUUGGGACUGAGACACGGCCCAGACUCCUACGGGAGGCAGCAGUGGGGAAUAUUGCACAAUGGGCGCAGGCCUGAUGCAGCGACGCCGCGUGGGGGAUGACGGCCUUCGGGUUGUAAACUCCUUUCGCUAGGGACGAAGCGUUUUUGUGACGGUACCUGGAGAAGAAGCACCGGCUAACUACGUG
rnacentral:rRNA from 1 species